UACGUAGGGUCCGAGCGUUAAUCGGAAUUACUGGGCGUAAAGCGUGCGCAGGCGGUUCUCCAAGUCCGUUGUGAAAGCCCCGGGCUCAACCUGGGAAUGGCAGUGGAAACUAGGGGACUGGAAUCUGGGCAGAGGGGGGUGGAAUGCCGCGUGUAGCAGUGAAAUGCGUAGAUAUCAGGAGGAACACCGAUGGCGAAGGCAGGUCUCUGGGCUGACACUGACGCUCAUGCACGAAAGCGCGGGGAGCGAACAGG
rnacentral:rRNA from 1 species